rnacentral:rRNA from 1 species
UACGUAGGCAGCAAGCGUUGUUCGGAAUUACUGGGCGUAAAGAGUGUGUAGGCGGUGCUCUAAGUUCGGCGUGAAAUCUCCCGGCUUAACUGGGAGGGUGCGCCGGAAACUGGAGUGCUUGAGCGCGGGAGAGGAAAGCGGAAUUCCUGGUGUAGCGGUGAAAUGCGUAGAUAUCAGGAGGAACACCUGUGGUGUAGACGGCUUUCUGGACCGUAGCUGACGCUGAGACACGAAAGCGUGGGUAGCAAACAGG